GGGUUGAUAGCUCAGGGGUAGAGCAACUGGCUUUUAACCAGUUGGUCGAGGGUUCAAACCCCUCUCCACCCA
rnacentral:tRNA from 1 species